rfam:Triticum aestivum genome assembly, contig: Triticum_aestivum_CS42_TGACv1_scaffold_377436_5AL
CUCGUACUCCCUCCGUCCGGAAAAGCUUGUCCCAAAUUAACUUGGAUGUAUCUACCACUAACUUGGUGCUAGAUACAUUCAUUUAAGGGACAAGCUUUUUUGGACGGAGGGAGUAUCAC